rnacentral:rRNA from 1 species
GACGAACGCUGGCGGCGUGCUUAACACAUGCAAGUCGAACGGUAAGGCCCUUCGGGGUACACGAGUGGCGAACGGGUGAGUAACACGUGGGUGAUCUGCCCUGCACUUCGGGAUAAGCCUGGGAAACUGGGUCUAAUACCGGAUAGGACCACUGCCUGCAUGGGUGGUGGUGGAAAGCUUUUGCGGUGUGGGAUGGGCCCGCGGCCUAUCAGCUUGGUGGUGGGGUGAUGGCCUACCAAGGCGACGACGGGUAGCCGGCCUGGGAGGGUGACCGGCCGCACUGGGACAGAGAUACGGCCCAGACUCCUUCGGGAGGCAGCAGUGGGGAAUAUUGCACAAUGGGCGCAAGCCUGAGGCAGCGCGGCCGCGUGGGGGAUGACGGCCUUCGGGUUGUAAACCUCUUUCAGCACCGACGAAGCGCAAGUGACGGUAGGCGCAGAAGAAGGACCGGCCAACUACGUGCCAGCCGCCGCCGUAAAAC